rnacentral:rRNA from 1 species
GAUGAACGCUGGCGGCGUGCCUAAUACAUGCAAGUCGAGCGAACAGACGAGGAGCUUGCUCCUCUGACGUUAGCGGCGGACGGGUGAGUAACACGUGGAUAACCUACCUAUAAGACUGGGAUAACUUCGGGAAACCGGAGCUAAUACCGGAUAAUAUAUUGAACCGCAUGGUUCAAUAGUGAAAGACGGUUUUGCUGUCACUUAUAGAUGGAUCCGCGCCGCAUUAGCUAGUUGGUAAGGUAACGGCUUACCAAGGCAACGAUGCGUAGCCGACCUGAGAGGAUGAUCAGCCACACUGGAACUGAGACACGGUCCAGACUCCUACGGGAGGCAGCAGUAGGGAAUCUUCCGCAAUGGGCGAAAGCCUGACGGAGCAACACCGCGUGAGUGAUGAAGGUCUUCGGAUCGUAAAACUCUGUUAUUAGGGAAGAACAAAUGUGUAAGUAACUAUGCACGUCUUGACGGUACCUAAUCAGAAAGCCACGGCUAACUACGUG